UACGUAGGGGGCAAGCGUUGUCCGGAAUUACUGGGCGUAAAGGGCGUGUAGGCGGCCAUAAAAGUCAGGGGUGAAAACCUGCGGCUCAACCGCGGGACUGCCUAUGAAACUAUAUGGCUUGAGGACAGGAGAGGGAAGUGGAAUUCCCAGUGUAGCGGUGAAAUGCGUAGAUAUUGGGAGGAACACCAGUGGCGAAGGCGACUUCCUGGCCUGGCCCUGACGCUGAGGCGCGAAAGCGUGGGGAGCGAACAGG
rnacentral:rRNA from 1 species